rnacentral:lncRNA from 1 species
GCACAGGCACGCACACUGCAGGCAAGCUCAUAGGCGAGGAAGGCUUGAGCUUGAGCACACACACACAGUUUUGCAAAAACUGUGUUUAACAAGAUGAAAACGUUUCUUGAUGAUUUUGGUGAAAAACUGAUUAUGAAAGCUUAGAGAAAAAUAGAAUUUUUAUUCAUCCUUAAUGGGCCAAAAGUUAUAUUACAAUUGAUACACUAAGGUGUAUUUAUACUUGUUACUUAAGCUACAAGUAACUACCUUGGCCUAACUAAUUCCUAACAACUCUUGGUAGUUAGACUAACCAACUAACUACCUAGGAUCAAACAAAGCAAACUUCAAGAUGAAUUAACUGCUUUCUUAACAA